rnacentral:rRNA from 1 species
UUAUUUGAGAGUUUGAUCCUGGCUCAGGAUGAACGCUGGCGGCGUGCCUAACACAUGCAAGUUGAGCGAUUUACUUCGGUAAAGAGCGGCGGACGGGUGAGUAACGCGUGGGUAACCUACCCUGUACACACGGAUAACAUACCGAAAGGUAUGCUAAUACGGGAUAAUAUAUUUGAGAGGCAUCUCUUAAAUAUCAAAGGUGAGCCAGUACAGGAUGGACCCGCGUCUGAUUAGCUAGUUGGUAAGGUAACGGCUUACCAAGGCGACGAUCAGUAGCCGACCUGAGAGGGUGAUCGGCCACAUUGGAACUGAGACACGGUCCAAACUCCUACGGGAGGCAGCAGUGGGGAAUAUUGCACAAUGGGCGAAAGCCUGAUGCAGCAACGCCGCGUGAGUGAUGAAGGCCUUCGGGUCGUAAAACUCUGUCCUCAAGGAAGAUAAUGACGGUACUUGAGGAGGAAGCCCCGGCUAACUACGUGCCAGCAGCCGCGGUAAUACGUAGGGGGCUAGCGUUAUCCGGAUUUACUGGGCGUAAAGGGUGCGUAGGCGGUCUUUCAAGUCAGGAGUGAAAGGCUACGGCUCAACCGUAGUAAGCUCUUGAAACUGGGAGACUUGAGUGCAGGAGAGGAGAGUGGAAUUCCUAGUGUAGCGGUGAAAUGCGUAGAUAUUAGGAGGAACACCAGUUGCGAAGGCGGCUCUCUGGACUGUAACUG